rnacentral:rRNA from 1 species
AUUGAACGCUGGCGGCAUGCUUUACACAUGCAAGUCGAACGGUAACAGGCCUUCGGGUGCUGACGAGUGGCGAACGGGUGAGUAAUGCAUCGGAACGUACCCAGAGGUGGGGGAUAACGCAGCGAAAGCUGUGCUAAUACCGCAUGUGAUCUGAGGAUGAAAGCGGGGGACCGAGCAGCAAUGUUUGGCCUCGCGCCUUUGGAGCGGCCGAUGUCGGAUUAGCUAGUUGGUGGGGUAACGGCCUACCAAGGCGACGAUCCGUAGCUGGUCUGAGAGGACGACCAGACACACUGGGACUGAGACACGGCCCAGACUCCUACGGGAGGCAGCAGUGGGGAAUUUUGGACAAUGGGCGCAAGCCUGAUCCAGCAAUGCCGCGUGCGGGAAGAAGGCCUUCGGGUUGUAAACCGCUUUUGGCAGGAACGAAACGGUGUCCGCUAAUACCGGGCGCUAAUGACGGUACCUGCAGAAUAAGCACCGGCUAACUACGUG